rnacentral:sRNA from 1 species
AAUGAUCUAUGAAAGCCGGCUUAAGUCUG